rnacentral:lncRNA from 1 species
GCAAGUAAGGCAGGGAUGUAGAUAGGAUGUAGAUAGGAGGAGGAGGCGGCAUCGCGUGUAGGAGUGGCGGAUAUGGGUCCCGACCUUUGGGGGGGCCCAUCCGGGCACCGGGCACCUCCAGGAGCUUUAAUACCUGAGGGAUAAAUGUUAUCAUCUUUACACCAGAACUCUUUUUUGAGUUUUUUUCCCUUUUCGUUGCGGGGUAAUCAAUC